rnacentral:lncRNA from 1 species
UUUUUUUUGCUGCGUUUUUUUUUUCCAACAGGAGCCUGGCGUUGACUGUUGCAUUCGGGUGAACCAUCAAUUUUCCUUGCUUUAUUAUUAUUAUUAUUUUUUUUUGUAUAAAACAUAUUUGCAUGUUAUACCUUUCCUUUGUACUAAAAAUAGUUGCUUAGAAGUUGUAAAACAUGCUUAUGUAAUACAUGAUUGUUGGUUUGGUUUAUAUGCCCAAUACAAAUCUUUCUCAGAAAUAUAUUCACAUAUUUUCGCAUGUAGAGACCCUUUAUUUUUUUUUUUUUUUUUUUUUUUUUAGGAAUUGGAGACUUUGCACGCAUCAAUCUUGGAGCUUUGGUUGGCAUCUUUGGAGCUUUGCACCUAUCAAUCAAGGGGCUUUCUUGGAGCUUUUUAGCUUUGGAGCUUUGCACCCAUCAAUCCUGGAGCUUUUCUUGGAGCUUUGGAGUUUUGGAGCUUUUGCA